rnacentral:rRNA from 1 species
GACGAACGCUGGCGGCGUGCUUAACACAUGCAAGUCGAACGAAGAGCGAUGGAAGCUUGCUUCUAUCAAUCUUAGUGGCGAACGGGUGAGUAACGCGUAAUCAACCUGCCCUUCAGAGGGGGACAACAGUUGGAAACGACUGCUAAUACCGCAUACGAUCUAAUCUCGGCAUCGAGGAUAGAUGAAAGGUGGCCUCUACAUGUAAGCUAUCACUGAAGGAGGGGAUUGCGUCUGAUUAGCUAGUUGGAGGGGUAACGGCCCACCAAGGCGAUGAUCAGUAGCCGGUCUGAGAGGAUGGACGGCCACAUUGGGACUGAGACACGGCCCAGACUCCUACGGGAGGCAGCAGUGGGGAAUCUUCCGCAAUGGACGAAAGUCUGACGGAGCAACGCCGCGUGAGUGAUGACGGCCUUCGGGUUGUAAAGCUCUGUUAAUCGGGACGAAAGGCCUUCUUGCGAAUAGUGAGAAGGAUUGACGGUACCGGAAGAGAAAGCCACGGCUAACUACGUG